UCGGGAAUUUUGGGCAAUGGGCGAAAGCCUGACCCAGCAACGCCGCGUGAAGGAUGAAGUAUUUCGGUAUGUAAACUUCGAAAGAAUAGGAAGAAUAAAUGACGGUACUAUUUAUAAGGUCCGGCUAACUACGUGCCAGCAGCCGCGGUAAUACGUAGGGAGCUAGCGUUGUUCGGAAUCACUGGGCGUAAAGCGCACGUAGGCGGAUAGUUAAGUCAGGGGUGAAAUCCUGGGGCUCAACCCCAGAACUGCCUUUGAUACUGGCUGUCUCGAGGUCGAGAGAGGUUGGUGGAAUUCCUAGUGUAGAGGUGAAAUUCGUAGAUAUUAGGAAGAACACCAGUGGCGAAGGCGGCCAACUGGCUCGAUACUGACGCUGAGGUGCGAAAGCGUGGGGAGCAAACAGGAUUAGAUACCCCCGUAGUCCCUGAGCGGGCUGGCAAGGCGCAU
rnacentral:rRNA from 1 species